rnacentral:rRNA from 1 species
UGCAAGUCGAACGAAGUAGCAAUACUUAGUGGCAGACGGGUGAGUAACAUGUAGGUAUCUGCCCUUUGGCCUGGAAUAACACGAGGAAACUUGUGCUAAUACCGGAUAAGUCUUUACGGAGAAAGCUUUAUGCACCAUUGGAUGAGCCUGCACUUGAUUAGUUUGUUGGUGGGGUAAUGGCCUACCAAGACUGUGAUCAAUAGCUGAUUUGAGAGGAUGAUCAGCCACAUUGGGACUGAGACACGGCCCAAACUCCUACGGGAGGCAGCAGUGGGGAAUCUUGCACAAUGGAGGAAACUCUGAUGCAGCGAUGCCGCGUGAGUGAAGAAGGCCCUUGGGUUGUAAAGCUCUUUCGUCGGGGAAGAAAAUGACUGUACCCGAAUAAGAAGGUCCGGCUAACUUCGUGCCAGCAGCCGCGGUAAUACGAAGGGACCUAGCGUAGUUCGGAAUUACUGGGCUUAAAGAGUUCGUAGGUGGUUGAAAAAGUUAGUGGUGAAAUCCCAGAGCUUAACUCUGGAACUGCCAUUAAAACUUUUCAGCUAGAGUAUGAUAGAGGAAAGCAGAAUUUCUAGUGUAGAGGUGAAAUUCGUAGAUAUUAGAAAGAAUACCAAUUGCGAAGGCAGCUUUCUGGAUCAUUACUGACACUGAGGAACGAAAGCAUGGGUAGCGAAGAGGAUUAGAUACCCUCGUAGUCCAUGCCGUAAACGAUGUGUGUUAGACGUUGGAAAUUUAUUUUCAGUGUCGCAGGGAAACCGAUAAACACACCGCCUGGGGAGUACGACCGCAAGGUUAAAACUCAAAUGAAUUGACGGGGACCCGCACAAGUAGUGGAGCAUGUGGUUUAAUUCGAAGAUACGCGCAGAACCUUACCAACACUUGACAUGUUCGUCGCGACUCUAAGAGAUUAG